rnacentral:rRNA from 1 species
CACGUAGGGGGCAAGCGUUGUCCGGAAUUAUUGGGCGUAAAGAGCUCGUAGGCGGUGUGUCACGUCGGCCGUGAAAACCUGCAGCUUAACUGUGGGCGUGCGGUCGAUACGGGCAUCACUGGAGUUCGGCAGGGGAGACUGGAAUUCCUGGUGUAGCGGUGAAAUGCGCAGAUAUCAGGAGGAACACCGGUGGCGAAGGCGGGUCUCUGGGCCGAUACUGACGCUGAGGAGCGAAAGCGUGGGGAGCAAACAGG